CUGGGUCGUGACCAAAAAAAAAGAAAAAAUCUGAGUUCUUCUUCUCUCUUCUCUAUUCUUCCCCGAUACUCUCUUAUUUUCUUUCCUGGUUUUUAUUCUCCUUGUUCUACCUCUGCUACGUAUUGCUUCGUCUUCGGUGGUUGGAAUCUAAAUCGUCGUGGUCAAUCGCUAACCCAGAAAAUAUGUCUGACGAAUCAGAUGAUGUCGAGUACAAUGGGGGUUCUGAAUCAGAUGAUGUCGAGGGUUCUUAAUCAGAGAGUGAGAGUGAGAUUGUUGAAGACAGAGAUGGAUCCGAUAACGGUAAGAAGAAGAAGAAAUCGAAGAAAAAAAAGGAGGAUGAAGAAGAUCCACUGGAGCGAUUUGCAUUUGAAAUAGAGGAUGGAGUAGCCAAUUUUGAGGAUGAGAUUCAAAUUGGUCAUAAUGUAAUUCAUGAUAGUUCAGAUGAAGAUGAGGAUCCUAUGGUGUUGAGGGAUAGAAGAAUCAGAAGGGCUAUGGGUGAUAAAUUGGUGGUUGGAUGUACUUUCUUCACAAGUGUUGAGUUCAAAGAAGCUGUUUUGGAAACUGCUUUGAAAGACGGACAUAAUCUGGUCCAAUGUAGGUGGGAGAAAGAGAAAAUUGCAUACAAGUGUGGCAUGGGUGGGAAAUGUCAAUGGAAGGUUUAUUGUGCAUGGAUUCAGAAGAAGCAACUAUUUGAGGUAAGGGCAUCAUGUAUGCAGCAUAGUUGCACACCAAAUGGGAAAUUUGUAAUGUUGAGGAGUCCUGUAAUUGCAAGGUUGUUAAUGGAUAAGCUGAGGCUAAAUUCGAAAUUUAUGCCUAUGGAUAUUCAACACUUCAUCAAAGAGCGUUGGAAGUUGGUGUCUACAAUCCCUCAAUGCCAAAGAGGAAGGCUUCUUGCUCUGAAAUUGAUCCAGAAAGAGUAUGAUGAACAGUUUGCUCAUCUUCGGGGAUAUGUUGAAGAGAUUCAUUCUCAAAACCCAGGGUCUGUUUCCUUCAUUGAUACUAACGUAAAUGAUAAGGGUGAAGAUGUGUUCGACAGGUUUUAUGUAUGUUUUAACAUACUUAAAACACAAUGGGCUGGGAGUUGUAGACCUAUACUAGGACUUGAUGGCACAUUCUUGAAGGUUGCUAUCAAAGGGGUUUUGUUGACUGCAGUUGGUCAUGAUGCAAACAAUCAAAUAUAUCCGGUUGCUUGGGCUGUAGUACAAUCUGAAAAUGCUGAAAAUUGGUUGUGGUUUGUCCAACAAAUCAAAAAGGAUUUAAGUUUAGAGAAUGGCAACCGGUUUGUCAUUAUAUGAGAUCGUUCAAAGGGUCUUAUAAGUGCAGUUAAAAUUGAGCUUCCCUUAGCUGAACAUAGGAGCUGUGUUAAACACAUUGUCGAGAAUCUAAAGAAAAAUCAUGCCAAGAAGGAUAUGCUAAAGACAUUAGUGUGGAGAUUAGCUUGAAGUUACAACAAAAAGGAAUAUAAGAAGCAUCUCAACGAGUUGAGAUGUUAUGAUGAUGCAUUGUACAAUGAUGUACUGAAGGAGGAACCACAUACUUGGUCAAGGUGCUUCUAUAGACUCGGUAGUUGCUGUGAGGAUGUCGACAACAAUGCAACUGAGUCAUUCAACUCCACCAUCACGAAAGCAAGAGCAAAGUCAUUGGUUUCGAUGCUGGAAACGAUAAGGAGACAAGGAAUGACACGAAAUUUAAGAGGAACAAGAAAGCCUACAAACAUCAAGGUAGAUUUUCUAAAUAUGCUCUGAAAAUCCUUGCAUUGGAGAAGAAAGAUGCAGGUAGAUGUACAGUGUAUCGUUGCACACAUGGCAUAUUUGAUGUAUAUCUAGAUGGAGGUGGUCAUCGAGUGGACAUACCAAAGUGUAAAUGUUCAUGUGGGAAGUGGCAAAUAAGUGGGAUUCCUUGUGAGCAUGCUUAUGCUGCGAUGAUAGAAGCGGGUUUGGACGCUGAGGACUACAUAUCUAGGUUUUUCUUGACAGAUAUGUGGAGAGAUAACUACCACACAGCCACCUACCCAUUAAGGGGACCACAAUAUUGGAUGAAUUCAACUUACAAGUUGGUGGUCGCACCACCAGAACCUAUAAUACCUGGGAGAAAGAAAGAAUCAAAGAAAAAAGGAGGUAAGUUUGCAAGGAUCAAAGGAAAGCAUGAUUCACCGAUGAAGAAGAAGAAAAAAAAAGGUUAAAGUAGAUAGACUCAGCAGAAAAGGAAGAAUCAUGCAUUGCAAGAGUUGCGGUGAAGCUGGCCACAACGCAUUGGGAUGUAAGAUGUUUCCAAAGGAGAAGGUACCGAGAAAGAGAAAGCCAAAAGAUGCUGGACUUGAAAAGGCUAACACGAAGAAGAAGUCUAAGAAGAAGACAACCCAAGAGACUCAAGGUCCGGAUACGCUAACACUCACACAACCUUCUCAAUCAGCUCUGAUGUAGUCUCUAGGUUGUGUUUCACGGGUUUAUCCCAUUUGAAUGUGUUGUCUACUUUUUUGGAGGUUCUCAGGCCAACAACAUUAUUGCCAAUUUCGGCUUCCUUUUGUUUUUGGUUGUGGUUGUACACUACUGCAGCUAUUAUGAUGUUUGCUUGAUGGUGUUGCUUUUAGACUAAUGUACUCAUGUGUUUUGAAAUUCUUUGAUGGUGUUUUCUCUUUCAAUCCAACUUUCAUUACAAUAAGGGUACACAAAAACAAACAAACAAAGAGUUGGAGAGAGUUUUCUCAUGGCUAAAGAAUUUAUGGGGGUUGUUAGAAUUGAAACGACUCUCGACCGGUACAGUUGUCGUUACCCUGUUUCCGGUGAAGCUGAUUUCGUAAAGCCAUUUGCUUUGGAGUAUAAGUGGGAGAAGAGAGGCUCUGGAGAUCUGCUGAUGCUGGCUCAUCCUCUCCAUCUCAAACUUAUAGCAA